rnacentral:rRNA from 1 species
UGGGGAAGUAUUGCACAAUGGGGGGAACCCGUGAUGCAGCGACGCCGCGUGGGUGAAGGAGUAUUUCGGUAUGUAAAGCCCUAUCAGCAGGGAAGAAACAAUGACGGUACCUGACUAAGAAGCACCGGCUAAAUACGUGCC